UUGUAUACAAAUCUGUACUUAACAGCAGAUGAUUUUUAUGCUUGCAUGGCAUUCAUAUUGUCUUCUUACACAUUAUUAGUUGGAAUCCAAUAUGCGUUUCAGGAUUUGUGUAUUGAAGUUCUCUGUUUUAAAGCAUUCUACUACUAAACACGAGUUAGUUUAAUGGGCCUUCUUCUUUUAUCAAAGUUUGGUGGACCAUCCAUUUUUCAUUCAUAUUAAAACCCAGAAAAAUUGCUUGCCGCACCAAACAUGAAAGUUCUACAGGUUCAAGGUUGUUGGUUUCAAUCUUCUAGAGCAUAGGCAACUCCUUUAGCUGAAUUUAAAUAAGGGUUAGAUCAAGGAGGGGUUCUUCCUCUCAGUUUACUUCUUGUUGGUAGAUUUCCAUACAGGGUCCAUUCAUAAUGUUCUACAUGCCGAUGGAGAAGGGAG
rnacentral:lncRNA from 1 species